GACGAACGCUGGCGGCGUGCUUAACACAUGCAAGUCGAACGGAAAGGCCCUGCUUUUGUGGGGUGCUCGAGUGGCGAACGGGUGAGUAACACGUGAGUAACCUGCCCUUGACUUUGGGAUAACUUCAGGAAACUGGGGCUAAUACCGGAUAGGAGCUCCUGCUGCAUGGUGGGGGUUGGAAAGUUUCGGCGGUUGGGGAUGGACUCGCGGCUUAUCAGCUUGUUGGUGGGGUAGUGGCUUACCAAGGCUUUGACGGGUAGCCGGCCUGAGAGGGUGACCGGCCACAUGGGGAAUGAGAUCCGCCCGAGACUCCUACGGGAGGAAGCAGUGGGGAAUAUUGCACAAGGGGCGGAAGCCUGAUGCAGCGACGCCGCGUGCGGGAUGACGGGCUUCGGGUUGUAACCCGCUUUCGCCUGGGACGAAGCGUGAGUGAGGGUAAUGGGUAAAGAAGCACCGGCUAACUACG
rnacentral:rRNA from 1 species